ACUUAGCUCAGCGGUAGAGCAAUCGGCUGUUAACCGAUUGGUCGUUGGUUCGAAUCCGACAGU
rnacentral:tRNA from 1 species